AGAUCCAGGGGAGGGGUGUGGGUCUGAGAGGGGAGGCAGAUCCAGGGGAGGGAUGUGGGUGUGAGAGGGGAGGCAGAUCCAGGGGAGGGGUGUGGGUCUGAGAGGGGAGGCAGAUCCAGGGGAGGGAUGUGGGCCACAGAGAGGAGGCAGGUCUAGGAGAGGGAUGUGGGUCUGAGAGGGGAGACAGAUUCAGGGAAGGGCCCUUGAUAUGACAGGGGCAGUUGUUGGAAGGGAGUGUGGGUGUGGCAGGGGUGGAGGGUUGCGAGUCUGAGAAGCAAAGGCUCUGAGGAAGAACGAGAUGUGGGAUCUAGGAAGUGAGGGCUUUUGAAGGGACCACGAGUCUGGAAGGGGCGGAGGUGUAGGUGUGAGAAUUGAGGACAAGUGGAGGAUGGUCUGAAGGUGUGUGAGAAGAGCAAAUGCAAAGAACAUGUGGGUCUGAGAGAGUCAACGCUUCUUGAAACUUUUUUCCACUGUUGAGAAUUGCUGAAUACAAAAAGGAAGUUUCCUUUUCUUUCCUUUUUCUUGUAAAGCGCUGCUUUUACCAUUAGCAGUUACAACUCCCUCUUUGGACUUCCUCUUUGGUAAAGUUAGCGAUCAAAGAACAAGAUAGAAUGUGCAAGCUACAUUUGUCCUGUGUGUUCUGCAUGAAAAAAAAAGGGGGGGGGGCUCAUGUUUUCCUGUCCGUCUCACACGUUUCUUUACUUCAACUUUGAAAUCGUGCAAUAUUUGCAUUGCCCUCUUACAUGUGCUGAGACCAUUGUCCUCCACAGUGGAGGCAGGUUAGAGUAAUGGGCAUCUGUUGAAGAAGGGUGCGAGAGAGGAAGAGGAAGAUAAUGUAGUAAUACCUCUUUGUAAAGAAGCUAAAUGUUUAAAAAUUUGACCCUAGUGUCUUUAAAUGGACAGAUAUUCCCUUUGUAUCUUAAAAUUUCUGAAAUACUUCUAAAUACAUUGACUAUCAUACAGGAUUAAUUUUAGUCUGAUUUGGUCAAAUCAGUCAUUCUUCAAUGAAAGUAUGUCUAUUUGGCUUUAUAUUUUGGAGAGAGGGUCAAAGUGGUAUAUAUUUAUAUUUAUUUAUAUUUAUAUUACAUCUAGAGUAAAUUGUUUUGUUUGUUUUUCUUUUUUAUACAUGACCUGUUAUUGUUUGGAGAGCACUUUCAAAUAACUCUAUAA